GCCCCGGUAGCUCAGCCUGGCGGAGCGCCUCACUGGUAAUGAGGAGGACCCGGGUUCGAAUCCCGGCCGGGGCU
rnacentral:tRNA from 1 species